rnacentral:rRNA from 1 species
GACGAACGCUGGCGGCGUGCCUAAUACAUGCAAGUCGAACGAACUCUGGUAUUGAUUGGUGCUUGCAUCAUGAUUUACAUUUGAGUGAGUGGCGAACUGGUGAGUAACACGUGGGAAACCUGCCCAGAAGCGGGGGAUAACACCUGGAAACAGAUGCUAAUACCGCAUAACAACUUGGACCGCAUGGUCCGAGCUUGAAAGAUGGCUUCGGCUAUCACUUUUGGAUGGUCCCGCGGCGUAUUAGCUAGAUGGUGGGGUAACGGCUCACCAUGGCAAUGACACGUAGCCGACCUGAGAGGGUAAUCGGCCACAUUGGGACUGAGACACGGCCCAAACUCCUACGGGAGGCAGCAGUAGGGAAUCUUCCACAAUGGACGAAAGUCUGAUGGAGCAACGCCGCGUGAGUGAAGAAGGGUUUCGGCUCGUAAAACUCUGUUGUUAAAGAAGAACAUAUCUGAGAGUAACUGUUCAGGUAUUGACGGUAUUUAACCAGAAAGCCACGGCUAACUACGUGCCAGCAGCCGCGGUAAUACGUAGGUGGCAAGCGUUGUCCGGAUUUAUUGGGCGUAAAGCGAGCGCAGGCGGUUUUUUAAGUCUGAUGUGAAAGCCUUCGGCUCAACCGAAGAAGUGCAUCGGAAACUGGGAAACUUGAGUGCAGAAGAGGACAGUGGAACUCCAUGUGUAGCGGUGAAAUGCGUAGAUAUAUGGAAGAACACCAGUGGCGAAGGCGGCUGUCUGGUCUGUAACUGACGCUGAGGCUCGAAAGUAUGGGUAGCAAACAGGAUUAGAUACCCUGGUAGUCCAUACCGUAAACGAUGAAUGCUAAGUGUUGGAGGGUUUCCGCCCUUCAGUGCUGCAGCUAACGCAUUAAGCAUUCCGCCUGGGGAGUACGGCCGCAAGGCUGAAACUCAAAGGAAUUGACGGGGGCCCGCACAAGCGGUGGAGCAUGUGGUUUAAUUCGAAGCUACGCGAAGAACCUUACCAGGUCUUGACAUACUAUGCAAAUCUAAGAGAUUAGACGUUCCCUUCGGGGACAUGGAUACAGGUGGUGCAUGGUUGUCGUCAGCUCGUGUCGUGAGAUGUUGGGUUAAGUCCCGCAACGAGCGCAACCCUUAUUAUCAGUUGCCAGCAUUAAGUUGGGCACUCUGGUGAGACUGCCGGUGACAAACCGGAGGAAGGUGGGGAUGACGUCAAAUCAUCAUGCCCCUUAUGACCUGGGCUACACACGUGCUACAAUGGAUGGUACAACGAGUUGCGAACUCGCGAGAGUAAGCUAAUCUCUUAAAGCCAUUCUCAGUUCGGAUUGUAGGCUGCAACUCGCCUACAUGAAGUCGGAAUCGCUAGUAAUCGCGGAUCAGCAUGCCGCGGUGAAUACGUUCCCGGGCCUUGUACACACCGCCCGUCACACCAUGAGAGUUUGUAACACCCAAAGUCGGUGGGGUAACCUUUUAGGAACCAGCCGCCUAAGGUGGGACAGAUGAUUAGGGUG